UACAGAGGGGGCAAGCGUUAUUCGGAAUUAUUGGGCGUAAAGGGCGCGUAGGCGGCCUGACAAGUGGAAGGUGAAAUCCCUCGGCUUAACCGAGGAACUGCCCUCCAAACUGUUUGGCUUGAGACCGGGAGAGGUGAGUGGAAUUCCCAGUGUAGCGGUGAAAUGCGUAGAUAUUGGGAGGAACACCGGUGGCGAAGGCGGUUCUCUGGGCAUGAUCUGACGCUGAGGAGCGAAAGUGUGGGGAGCGAACAGG
rnacentral:rRNA from 1 species